GGCACUUUCGGAUCACCCAAACGGGGAAUUCGUAUCACCGAAAACGAAAAAGGAAUUCAGGGUGGAAGCCUACCCGAGUUUCAUUCCCUUCAUAGAUAGAAAAAAAUUAACUUCGCAUCCAUAUGUAAGUUUUCGUUUGCUAAAUUUGUUAGUACGCUUAUUUACUUAUAUGCCAAAUAAAAUAACACACUGUUGAAAUGUGGCAAUCCUUUAGAUUUUUGCUCCUGUUUGCCACUCGGGGCAUUGGUGGUUAUGGCUCAUAAAUACAAGAAAGUGGAAAUGUCAUAUACUUGACCCGCUACACAAAAGAGCUCCAAGCGAUGAGAGAAAGGACAUUAAUAAAUUCACUGGAUAUGUAUUUUCAAGAUUGAUAACAUAUGUCGGCGGGGAACCUCUGCAGAAAGGGGAGAACGAGAAGAAAAUUAAAUCAUCAUAUGUUAAAAUAUCAGGCCAAAAAACAAGGUAUAAAUUUGUGAGUCUGAACAUUAAACUUUCGUAAAUGAGAUUUGUAAUUUAUUUUCUUCGUUUUCAGCUAUGACUGCGCUAUCUAUGUUAUGAAGUGGAUGGAGUUAAUUGAGUCGGAAAACAUCAAAAAGGGAAAGUAUGAAUGGGAUAAUUGGCCACAGGAGGAGGUGGACCACUAUAGAGUGGAGUAUGCUUCCCGGAUACUAUUCAGUGAGAUGAAUAGA